rnacentral:rRNA from 1 species
UACGAAGGUUGCUAGCGUUGUUCGGAAUCACUGGGCUUAAAGCGCACGUAGGCGGCUCAUCAAGUACUUUGUGAAAUCCCACGGCUCAACCGUGGAAUUGCUUGGUAUACUGUUGAGCUUGAGGCAGGUAGGGGCGCGUGGAACUCUUGGUGGAGCGGUGGAAUGCGUAGAUAUCAAGAGGAACGCCGGUGGCGAAAGCGACGCGCUGGGCCUGUCCUGACGCUGAGGUGCGAAAGCCAGGGGAGCAAACGGG